UCUGUCUCGGCUUCCUCCGCUAACACAGUCUACGCACCAGCCGCGUGUUCAGCCACCGUGCCUAUUGCCGUCUUGGCAAUCUUCGUCCCUAGCUCCCAAAUCUUUUUCAUUAUCUACAGCUCUACCAGUUCAGCAUCCGGGUAGGAGUUUCAUUACGUCCGCCGCGGCAACCGUUUACCAUCUUACUAAAAACAAUGUACUCCAUGGUAAAGAUGUCAAUCUUGCGGGUUUACUGUUACCUUCCCCUGCCAUAAAGCGACAAUGGGUUGAUUGUGGCGACGUGUCUGUUCUUUUAAAGACUACAGAUCCCAGACUAACGUGCAAUUUAUCUUUUGGCGAGUUCGUUAUUACUUUUGGUAUCUACAGAGACAUCAUGUGCUGAGUUUAACCUGAAAGGAGGAUCGAACUAGACGCUUACCUUGCCAUCAUCGCUGACCUCAACCAUUGGGGAACUCAAUUUUGAUAUCAAUUUUAUGAAUAUCAUUAAGCGUUCUCUGCCAAGUCAGCCCAAUGCAUAACCAUGUUAAACACUAGAAUCGACUGGUCUAUCACGGACACCGAGCUCCUGCUCUGCCAUUUCGGUGGCCACAAGUCGCUAUCGUGCACCAUCUGUAGUUCUCACGGACACAGAACGGUGCUAUACCGAAAGACUGCUACUACCUCUCCCGUUCCAUUCCCUGUCCAUGGUGGUGAACAUUAUUUGCAAGGACCCACACCCGAAAUCCACCUGCCCCUGCCGUCAAAGGCAGACAGGCCAAGGGAGGGCCCCUCCCUUCAUGAGAUUCUAAAAUCUCAUCCAUUUACCCCAAUUAACAUUCCUUCAUUAUCAAAUUUCUCUCGUCUCACCCAUACCCCUGUUUUGUAGACCAUCUUAUCGCGGGCCUUUCACAAGGGUUUCGGGUGGGAGUCUCCAGUCAGCUCAGGCUGAACCAGAAAUAGUGUCUGCUCUUCUGGCUAAAGAGGUCCACAAAAAGUACGUUAUUGGCCCAUUUAGUUCUCCCCCCUUCUCUCUUUUCCGCAUCAAUUCUCUCGGCGUCGCUACUCGGAGAUAGUCAGGGAAAAAACGUCUUAUUUUUGACAUGUCCUCUACUCACUCCGACUAUCACAACUUUCAACGAAUGUAUCCCACCAGCACCAGCACCAUUUUCUUUGUAAUAUGCCACCAUCGAUGACGCAAUUGCGUUUAAUAAAAUCGCAGGUCAGGGAGCCUGGCUUGCUAAAGCCGACAUUACGGAUGCUUUUAAAAUAAUGCCUAUUCAUCGUUCCGAUUGGCCGCUGUUCGGAGUUAAAUGGCCCAUUUGGUCCCAAAACCGAACAACAUAAUAUACCUCAACGAAGGCAGGAAAUUCUGGUAGUUUCUUCUUGCUUAUUGGAACGGUAUAUCUUUCUUCUAUAAUGAUGUGCCCAAACAAUCCGAUUCUCUCAAACUAUGGCAAUUAUUAAUAAACCGUGAUCUGCAUGGCCUACCAUUACUUCUCUGAUCAGACGUCUAACACGGCCGUUACUCCCAAUUUCAUCAUAAAUGCUGAGCAUAAACCCGGUCACUAUAAUGUUCUAGCUGAUUCUCUCUCUUGUUUUAGUUUCCAGGAAUUAAGACGCCUAUGCCCCGCAGCGAAUAUUGACCCAAUACUCAGCCCACCUUUCCACGAACUCCGGAUGGAUCAGGCAACAGUUUAAAUUCGCUGUUACUGUGCGUUCACACCAAACGCGACGGGGCGACAAGAUCCCAUACAAAGUGAACGUAGAGACGUGUAUCGGGCGAAUUUCUUCGCAAGAGAAACCGCCGAAAAGUUUUGAUUUGUCGCGCCACACUUUUGCCGUGCACAGGCGAGCGCUUUCACGAGGAUUUGUAGCGUGAAAAAUUCGCUCGAGUUGAAAUAUUUCAACUUUGAUGCGAAUUUAGCGUGAUUACGCGUGAUGACAGCCAAUCAGCUGUCACUUCCCGAUCAAGAUCAAACUGCUAAAUGGAGGAGAAAAUUAUUAUUUCGGCGUCCGCUCUGCCUGAGCUUUUUAAUUGCACCAUGUCUGGUUACAAGGACCGGACGGUGAAGGCAAGGGUCCGGCAGAAGGUGAGCCAAGAGGUUGGGCUAACUGGUACGUUUUUUAAAUUUACUUCACUUUAAAAGUUACUAUAUUCCAGCUAUUAAUUGUACUUAACUAUGAACCAAGCUAGUUAGUUAGCAGUUACCAUUCAACAGUUCAGUUCGGAUUACACAACGUAGUUUUAUUUCUUGUCAGAGGACGUCUGCCGCAAGAGACUGAAGGGCCUGAGUGACACCUACCUCAGGGAGAGACGAAAAGAGGCGGGAAAGAGGAGUGGGACAGCAGCAGGGCCAUCUAAGAGGUGGAAGUACUCUGCAAUCCUGUCUUUCCUCUACCCAUUUGUUACUCAGAGGGAGACCAGUAGCAAUAUGGGGCUGGGGGUCGAAGAAGACGGGAUUGCAGAAUACCCAGUCGAAGACCAGGGUUCAGAGGCAGCAGCAGGGACAGCGAAUAACCUAGGAGAAGAUCGAACCUGUACAAGCUGUGAGGAGCCGGAGGCUGCUGCUGCCUCUGAACCCAUUCCACCACCACCACCAACUGCUGCGGUCACCACAUCCCUAUUGCCCCAGUGAGGACACAGAAAAGAAGGAGAGUGGGGGGAGGGAGAGAUAGAGAAGUGCCUCCUGGAGGUGUUGAGGAGGCAGCCUCCACCUGCUCCAGUGCCUCCGCCUCCUCCUCCUCCAGCGCCUCUCUCCGAGGACGAGACAAACUUUUUUUGAAAGGGAUACUUCCUUCCCUGCAACGAUUGCCAAACCAUGCCAAAGAACACAUGAAAUUUCAAAUUUAUAAAUGAUUGCAUGACCCUAACAGUUACUAUAAUCCAGAACUGCUCAAUUUAGACAAUCAAUUUGGACCAUUCGGUGAAUUGGUUCACUGGGGUGACAAUCGUUGCAGGGAAUGAUCCAUGCCCAUUUUUUUUUGUUUACACACGCACACACACACACACACACACACACACACACACACACACACACACACACACACACACACACACACACACACACACACA